GCUCGACUUCCCUCUCAAUCUCAAUUAGCAAAGAAUCUAAUCAGGACAAACUACUUAAGACUAUAUCUAUCCCUGAUGUUGUAUACCUUAAGUAAAUCAUGGAUUACUUAACAUCUGGAUUGACACAAGCUGUGCAACGUCAUUAUUAGAACUUUUAAAAUAAGUAAAAAAAAAUUCUAUUAAAUAACAAUGGUAGAAGAGAAGAAUCAAUUCUUCUUAAAUUGAUGAAUCAUGAACGUGGAGAUAAGGACUUAUCCGAUGGUUAAUUGAAACCCCUCAUUUGUAACUUAAGUUAUCAAUCAUGGAAUUGUGGUCGUUUGGUAGAAGAUUUUGUCGAAAAAUCUCAUUAUUUGGUGGUGAAACUUGAAGGAGUCCUCCAAAAGCAAUGAUCAAAUCUAACUUUAAUUGCAGAUCGUCUUUAUUAGCGAGAAUGGAGGAAGGACCUCUUAUUAAACCACAUCGAAGGAAGACAUUUUUGAAGGAAUACCCAUAACAUAUUUAUGAGAUUGUCAAUUCCUUUGUAGUUCAUCAUAUUUAUCUUGUAUUGUAGAAAAAGGUCUCUUUAUGAACCUGUUUUUAUCGAUAGAUGACUUCCCAUUUAGUAAUUCUUGUCUUACCUCUUGUUUUUGGAAUUUAUCUCCCUUUUCUGAAUCAUUAAAAGCGUUGAAAAUACAGAUCCUAAGUGUGGAUUAUUCAAGAUUUUAAGCAUGAAUUAUUCCGUACUUUCUGAUUUGAUUUUGAUUUCCUAGAUGAUUCUUUGUUGGUGGUUCAUUUUUUAAGAGUUUAUUAUUAAGGAUGCCUCAUCCUCCGCUGUAGAUAUAUAUAUAUACAUAUAUAGACGAUGUCUGCUUGAAUAUGUACCUUUAACUUCAGCAAUUUUAAACUUAUAUUAUGGAUACAGGACCUAAGUGUGGAUUAUUCAAGAUGUUAAGCAUGAAUUAUUCCAAAUUGUGCCUAUUUUAAUGCAACAAAUCAUUAUUAUUGCCACUACUGAAACUGAAGACACGGCACCUAAUGAAGUUGGGUUGAUAUUUAUUUCUUUACAAAUUAAUUAUGACAAUUUAUUGUGACAGCAAGUUCUACUUUUACUUCCGGUAUUUAUGUAUUACAUUAUAUUUACAUAUAAAAAUGCUAUUAAUCUUUAAUUGGAAUAACUCAUGAUUACAUUGAUAACUCGAUGUAGAGUAAUUCACCUUUAAAGUAACAAAUAAACUUAUUUCUUGUUCAGUUCUA
rnacentral:lncRNA from 1 species